rnacentral:rRNA from 1 species
UGAUGCAGCACGCCGCGUGCGGGAUGACGGCCUUCGGGUUGUAAACUGCUUUCGCCUGUGACGAAGCGUGAGUGACGGUAAUGGGUAAAGAAGCACCGGCUAACUACGUGCCAGCAGCCGCGGUGAUACGUAGGGUGCGAGCGUUGUCCGGAUUUAUUGGGCGUAAAGGGCUCGUAGGUGGUUGAUCGCGUCGGAAGUGUAAUCUUGGGGCUUAACCCUGAGCGUGCUUUCGAUACGGGUUGACUUGAGGAAGGUAGGGGAGAAUGGAAUUCCUGGUGGAGCGGUGGAAUGCGCAGAUAUCAGGAGGAACACCAGUGGCGAAGGCGGUUCUCUGGGCCUUUCCUGACGCUGAGGAGCGAAAGCGUGGGGAGCGAACA